AUUGAACGCUGGCGGUAUGCUUAACACAUGCAAGUCGAACGGUAACAGGCCUUCGGGCGCUGACGAGUGGCGGACGGGUGAGUAACGCGUAGGAAUCUGCCUCAUAGUGGGGGACAACGUGGGGAAACUCACGCUAAUACCGCAUACGCCCUACGGGGAAAGACGGGGGAGUCUUCGGACCUCGCGCUAUGAGAUGAGCCUGCGUUAGAUUAGCUAGUUGGUAGGGUAAAGGCCUACCAAGGCGACGAUCUAUAGCUGGUCUGAGAGGACGAUCAGCCACACUGGGACUGAGACACGGCCCAGACUCCUACGGGAGGCAGCAGUGGGGAAUAUUGGACAAUGGGCGCAAGCCUGAUCCAGCAAUACCGCGUGUGUGAAGAAGGCCUUAGGGUUGUAAAGCACUUUCAAUUGGGAGGAAAACCUAGCCGGUCAAUACCCGGUAGCUAGACAUUACCUUUAG
rnacentral:rRNA from 1 species